UACGUAGGGGGCAAGCGUUGUCCGGAAUUAUUGGGCGUAAAGAGCGCGUAGGCGGUCCGAUAAGUCGGCUGUGAAAGUCAAGGGCUCAACCCUUGGAAGCCGGCCGAUACUGUCGGACUAGAGUCCGGAAGAGGCGAGUGGAAUUCCCGGUGUAGCGGUGAAAUGCGCAGAUAUCGGGAGGAACACCAAUUGCGAAGGCAGCUCGCUGGGACGGUACUGACGCUGAGGUGCGAAAGCGUGGGGAGCAAACAGG
rnacentral:rRNA from 1 species